GUAGUCCACGCCCUAAACGAUGGAUACUAGGCGUCGGGGGUAUCGACCCCCCCGGUGCCGCAGCAAACGCAUUAAGUAUCCCGCCUGGGGAGUACGGCCGCAAGGUUGAAACUCAAAUGAAUUGACGGGGACCCGCACAAGCGGUGGAGCAUGUGGAUUAAUUCGAUACUAACCGAAGAACCUUACCCACUCUUGACAUUGAAGGAAAGCUCUAGAGAUAGAGCCCUCUCUCACAAGGAGACCUGAAAACAGAUGUUGCAUGGCUGUCGUCAGCUCGUGCCGUGAGGUGUACGGUUAAGUCCGCCAACGAGCGCAACCCUCGUUCUGUGUUACCAGCGAGUAAUGUCGGGCACUCACAGGAGACCGCCGGUGUAAGCCGGA
rnacentral:rRNA from 1 species